GAGUUUGAUCCUGGCUCAGAACAAACGCUGGCGGCGUGCAUAACACAUGCAAGUCUAAAGGGAAUGUCGGCUUCGGCUGACUAGUACCUUGGCGAACGGGUGAGUAACACGUGGGUAAUCUGACCUCGAGCUCGGGAUAACCCGGCGAAAGCUGGGCUAAUACGGGAUAAGACCACGCCCUGUACGCAGGGCGCGGGAAAAGGUGGCCUCUUCUUGAAAGCUAUCACUUGAGGAUGAGCCCGCGGCCUAUUAGCUAGUUGGUGGGGUAACGGCCCACCAAGGCGACGAUGGGUAGCCGGCCUGAGAGGGUGUACGGCCACACUGGCACUGAGAUACGGGCCAGACUCCUACGGGAGGCAGCAGUGGGGAAUUUUGCGCAAUGGGGGAAACCCUGACGCAGCAACGCCGCGUGAGUGAUGAAGGCCUUCGGGUCGUAAAGCUCUUUUAGUGGGGAAGAAUCCCACCCGGGCUAAUACCUCGGGUGUCUGACGGUACCCACAGAAAAAGUUCCGGCUAACUACGUGCCAGCAGCCGCGGUAAUACGUAGGGAGCAAGCGUUGUUCGGAAUUAUUGGGCGUAAAGAGCGCGUAGGCGGUUCGGUAAGUCUGACGUGAAAUCCCAGAGCUUAACUCUGGAACUGCGUUGGAUACUGCCGAGCUUGAGUGUGGGAGAGGAGAGUGGAAUUCC
rnacentral:rRNA from 1 species